CUUAGCUCUAGUGGAAAAAGGUGGAGGAUUUGUGGCUUAGGUCGCAGGUACAAGCCCCACACCAUGCAAACCGAAGCCUGGUAUUUAAGUGGAGCCCAAGGCUUAGCUCUAGUGGAAAAAGGUGGAGGAUUUGUGGCUUAGGUCGCAGGUUCAAGCCCCACACCAUGCAAAGCGAAGCCCGAUAUUUAAGUGGAGCCUAAGGCUUAGCUCUAGUGGAAAAAGGUGGAGGAUUUGUAGCUUAGGUCGCAGGUUCAAGCCCCACACCAUGCAAAGCGAAGCCCGGUAUUUAAGUGGAUCCCAAGGCUUAGCUCUAGUGGUAAAAGGUGGAGGAUUUGUGGCUUAGGUCGCAGGUUCAAGCCCCACACCAUGCAAAGCGAUGCCCGGUAUUUAAGUGGACCCUAAGGCUUAGCUCUAGUGGAAAAAGGUGGAGGAUUUGUUGCUUAGGUC